AAUCAACGCUGGCGGCGUGCCUAACACAUGCAAGUCGAACGCGACUGGGGCUUCGGCCUCAGUUGAGUGGCGAACGGGUGAGUAACACGUGGGUGACCUACCUUCGAAUGGGGGAUAACGUCCCGAAAGGGACGCUAAUACCGCAUAACAUCCUGCCUUUGAACAGGCGGAGAUCAAAGCCGGGGAUCGCAAGACCUGGCGUUUGAGGAGGGGCCCGCGUCCGAUUAGCUAGUUGGGAGGUAC
rnacentral:rRNA from 1 species